UGGGGAAUAUUGCACAAUGGGCGAAAGCCUGAUGCAGCGACGCCGCGUGAGGGAUGACGGCCUUCGGGUUGUAUACCUCUUUCAGUAGGGACGAAGCGCAAGUGACGGUACCUGCAGAAGAAGCACCGGCUAACUACGUGCCAGCAGCCGCGGUAAUACGUAGGGUGCGAGCGUUGUCCGGAAUUACUGGGCGUAAAGAGCUCGUAGGCGGUUUGUCACGUCGUCUGUGAAAUCCUAGGGCUUAACCCUGGACGUGCAGGCGAUACGGGCUGACUUGAGUACUACAGGGGAGACUGGAAUUUCUGGUGUAGCGGUGGAAUGCACAGAUAUCAGGAAGAACACCGAUGGCGAAGGCAGGUCUCUGGGUAGUAACUGACGCUGAGGAGCGAAAGCAUGGGUAGCGAACAGG
rnacentral:rRNA from 1 species